CCUGUAGGUCUACUCUACUGACUAUCUAUGGCCUGUAGGUCUACUCUACUGACUAUCUAUGUCCUGUAGGUCUACUCUACUGACUAUUAAUGGCCUGUAGGUCUACUCUACUGACUAUUAAUGGCCUGUAGGUCUACUCUACUGACUAUCUAUGGCCUGUAGGUCUACUCUACUGACUAUCAAUGGCCUGUAGGUCUACUCUACUGACUAUCUAUGGCCUGUAGGUCUACUCUACUGACUAUUAAUGGCCUGUAGGUCUACUCUACUGACUAUCUAUGUCCUGUAGGUCUACUCUACUGACUAUCUAUGUCCUGUAGGUCUACUCUACUGACUAUCUAUGUCCUGUAGGUCUACUCUACUGACUAUCUAUGGCCUGUAGGUCUACUCUACUGACUAUCUAUGUCCUGUAGGUCUACUCUACUGACUAUCUAUGGCCUGUAGGUCUACUCUACUGACUAUCUAUGGCCUGUAGGUCUACUCUACUGACUAUUAAUGGCCUGUAGGUCUACUCUACUGACUAUCUAUGUCCUGUAGGUCUACUCUCCUGACUAUCUAUGUCCUGUAGGUCUACUCUACUGACUAUCUAUGGCCUGUAGGUCUACUCUACUGACUAUCUAUGGCCUGUAGGUCUACUCUACUGACUAUCUAUGUCCUGUAGGUCUACUCUACUGACUAUCUAUGUCCUGUAGGUCUACUCUACUGACUAUCUAUGUCCUGUAGGUCUACUCUACUGACUAUCUAUGUCCUGUAGGUCUACUCUACUGACUAUCUAUGUCCUGUAGGUCUACUCUACUGACUAUUAAUGGCCUGUAGGUCUACUCUACUGACUAUCUAUGGCCUGUAGGUCUACUCUCCUGACUAUCUAUGUCCUGUAGGUCUACUCUCCUGACUAUCUAUGUCCUGUAGGUCUACUCUACUGACUAUCUAUGGCCUGUAGGUCUACUCUACUGACUAUCUAUGUCCUGUAGGUCUACUCUACUGACUAUCUGGCCUGUAGGUCUACUCUACUGACUAUCUAUGUCCUGUAGGUCUACUCUACUGACUAUCUAUGGCCUGUAGGUCUACUCUACUGACUAUCUAUGUCCUGUAGGUCUACUCUACUGACUAUCUAUGUCCUGUAGGUCUACUCUACUGACUAUCUAUGUCCUGUAGGUCUACUCUACUGACUAUCUAUGUCCUGUAGGUCUACUCUACUGACUAUCUAUGUCCUGUAGGUCUACUCUACUGACUAUCUAUGUCCUGUAGGUCUACUCUACUGACUAUCAAUGGCCUGUAGGUCUACUCUACUGACUAUCUAUGGCCUGUAGGUCUACUCUCCUGACUAUCUAUGUCCUGUAGGUCUACUCUCCUGACUAUCUAUGUCCUGUAGGUCUACUCUCCUGACUAUCUAUGUCCUGUAGGUCUACUCUACUGACUAUCUGGCCUGUAGGUCUACUCUACUGACUAUCUAUGGCCUGUAGGUCUACUCUACUGAAUAUGGCCUGUAGGUCUACUCUACUGACUAUCUGGCCUGUAGGUCUACUCUACUGACUAUCUGGCCUGUAGGUCUACUCUACUGACUAUCUAUGUCCUGUAGGUCUACUCUACUGACUAUCUAUGUCCUGUAGGUCUACUCUACUGACUAUCUAUGGCCUGUAGGUCUACUCUACUGACGAUCAAUGGCCUGUAGGUCAACUCUCUUUAAAGAAUUUCAGGUCUUCUCUCCAUUGGUUCUAAACCAAAACCCUUCAGCAUGCUGGGCCGUGUGGUCUCUUUAGCCAUAUUCUGAUCUGAAAGACUCACAUUCAAUAGUCUUUUCUAUCGCCACGGAAACCAAAUGAGUGCUGAAACGGGUAGUAAUGUGAGACUCUAGGAUGCCGUCUGUGUCAGGUCAGAGGUCAGUAUGAUGUAGUCAGGGACUGUUUGACUGGCCACACUUCCCCGUGCCAGACGGCCAUUACAGAGACUUAACCAGCUGCUUUCCAAUUGGUUCCCUGACCUCUCCUCAUCCCCUACACUGACCUCUCCUCAUCUCCUACACUGACCUCUCCUCAUCCCCUACACUGACCUCUCCUCGUCCCCUACACUGACCUCUCCUCAUCCCCUACACUGACCUCUCCUCAUCCCCUACACUGACCUCUCCCCAUCCCCUACACUGACCUCUCCUCAUCCCAUACACUGACCUCUCCUCAUCCCUUCCACUGACCUCUCCUCAUCCCCUACACUGACCUCUCCUCAUCCCCUACACUGACCUCUCCUCAUCUCCUACACUGACCUCUCCUCAUCCCUUCCACUGACCUCACCUCAUCCCCUACACUGACCUCUCCUCAUCCCCUACACUGACCUCUCCUCAUCCCCUACACAGACCUCUCCUCAUCCCUUACACUGACCUCUCCUCAUCCCCUACACUGACCUCUCCUCAUCCCCUACACUGACCUCUCCUCAUCCCCUACACUGACCUCUCCUCAUCCCAUACACUGACCUCUCCUCAUCCCUUACACUGACCUCUCCUCAUCCCCUACACUGACCUCUCCUCAUCCCCUACACUGACCUCCCCUCAUCCCUUACACUGACCUCUCCUCAUCCCUUACACUGAUCUCUCCUCAUCCCCUACACUGACCUCUCCUUAUCCCUUACACUGACCUCUCCUCAUCCCUUACACUGACCUCUCCUCAUCCCUUACACUGACCUCUCCUCAUCCCUUACACUGACCUCUCCUCAUCCCUUACACUGACCUCUCCUCAUCCCCUACACUGACCUCUCCUCAUCCC